UCCUACGGGAGGCAGCAGUGGGGAAUUUUGGACAAUGGGCGAAAGCCUGAUCCAGCAAUGCCGCGUGUGUGAAGAAGGCCUUCGGGUUGUAAAGCACUUUUGUCCGGAAAGAAAUCCUUGGCUUUAAUACAGUCGGGGGAUGACGGUACCGGAAGAAUAAGCCCCGGCUAACUACGUGCCAGCAGCCGCGGUAAUACGUAGGGUGCGAGCGUUAAUCGGAAUUACUGGGCGUAAAGCGUGCGCAGGCGGUUUGCUAAGACCGAUGUGAAAUCCCCGGGCUCAACCUGGGAACUGCAUUGGUGACUGGCAGGCUAGAGUAUGGCAGAGGGGGGUAGAAUUCCACGUGUAGCAGUGAAAUGCGUAGAGAUGUGGAGGAAUACCGAUGGCGAAGGCAGCCUCCCUGGGCCAAUACUGACGCUCAGCACG
rnacentral:rRNA from 1 species